rnacentral:rRNA from 1 species
AGGGAAUAUUGCGCAAUGGAGGAAACUCUGACGCAGCGACGCCGCGUGAGCGAUGAAGGUCUUCGGAUCGUAAAGCUCUGUCCUCAGGGAAGAAGAAAGUGACGGUACCUGAGGAGGAAGCCCCGGCUAACUACGUGCCAGCAGCCGCGGUAAUACGUAGGGGGCAAGCGUUGUCCGGAAUUAUUGGGCGUAAAGGGUGCGUAGGCGGCUUUUUAAGUCAGAUGUGAAAGACCACAGCUUAACUGUGGGGUUGCAUUUGAAACUGGAGAGCUUGAGUAUCGGAGAGGGUAGUGGAAUUCCUGGAGUAGCGGUGAAAUGCGUAGAUAUCAGGAGGAACACCAGUGGCGAAGGCGACUACCUGGACGAAAACUGACGCUGAGGCACGAAAGCUAGGGGAGCAAAC